rnacentral:rRNA from 1 species
AUUGAACGCUGGCGGCAGGCCUAACACAUGCAAGUCGAGCGGAACGGCGGACGGGUGAGUAAUGCCUGGGAAUCUGCCUGGUAGUGAGGGAUACAGUCCGGAGACGGGCGCUAAUGCCGCCUGCUAUCAAGUGACCCUAGGUCGGAUUAGCUAGUUGGUGGGGUAAAGGCCUACCAAGGCGGCGAUCCGUAACUGGUCUGAGAGGAUGAUCAGUCACACUGGAACUGAGACACGGCCCAGACUCCUACGGGAGGCAGCAGUGGGGAAUAUUGGACAAUGGGCGAAAGCCUGAUCCAGCAAUGCCGCGUGGGUGAAGAAGGUCUUCGGAUUGUAAAGCACUUUAAGUUGGGAGGCGGUACCAACAGAAUAAGCACCGGCUAACUUCGUGCCAGCAGCCGCGGUAAUAC